rnacentral:rRNA from 1 species
UACGUAGGGUGCAAGCGUUGUCCGGAAUUAUUGGGCGUGAAGAGCUCGUAGGCGGUCUGUCGCGUCUGCUGUGAAAACUCGGGGCUUAACCCCGGGCCUGCAGUGGGUACGGGCAGACUAGAGUGCGGUAGGGGAGACUGGAAUUCCUGGUGUAGCGGUGAAAUGCGCAGAUAUCAGGAGGAACACCGGUGGCGAAGGCGGGUCUCUGGGCAUUAACUGACGCUGAGGAGCGAAAGCAUGGGGAGCGAACAGG